rnacentral:sRNA from 1 species
GUUUUUUGCUUCCUGAUCUUUGUGAUGUCUCAGCAGAGUAGCAUUUUUUAAUCUUUUUCUAGAAAAAAAUAUCUUGGGUUCAACUGGGGUGGGAUCUCAGUCCUAAUCGCGAUCUCACGUGUCUGUGUGAAGAGACCACCAAACAGGCUUUGUAAUUAUUGGUGAUGGCCUGGAUGCGGUUUUGUAUGAACUGAGAAACUAAACAAAAGAGUGGCUGCCAGGUGGAUCUCUUCAGGGAGUGAAGGUGAGGACAGGGGACUGCUGUCCCGAAGGAGUCCCGCUGACCCGGGUCUUCGGCACCAAAUGUCUCAUGCGUCCGUGUCAAGAGACCACCAAACAGGCUUUGUAUCUUCAGUUGCUUCAGGCCAUUUGAACGUAUAUGAGCCGGUCGUAGGGGAUAUGAUGGCUUAGCUUGGGCUCAGAGGCCUGAAAAUCGCCCCCACCAAUCACCCGUUUCCCCCAAUCUACCCUCCUGAAGGUCACUGACAAAGACUUCAUUGUCUCCUA